ensembl:lncRNA
AGGGAGCUCAGGUGCAAGCCAUGCACCUGCUUGACUGGAAGGGGUGGAGCCUGGAUCUACCCCUCCUCAUCCUCAUUUAAGAGAUAGCAGCCAAGGGAGCAGCACCUCUUUGGAUAGAGAUUGUGCUCCUGUUGAGCUAUCACUGGUCAUUGGAAGAGCUGCCUCCACUCCACAGCUCUAAGCGUCAGCGGCAAUGAGAAGCCUGUUUUUAUCACUAAAGCACACAAACAGUAAGCUGAGGACACUCGAGCACUGCCCUGGCGACUCACGUUGGUGACUCAGGACCAGUUGGUCUCACAGAGUUAACUCUCAAUUCAAUACAAAUCCCGUCUCUGACUAAAGCUCCAGGCAAAGUUUUCAACUCUACGGAGCGACGUUUUUCAGUUGGAGGAGGCAAGCCAUCCAGCAGCACAGCUUCAGCUUCUGUGGCCUUCCACACUUGCUCUUCACCCUUGCGUUGCAACAGGACUUUGCACUGACUAUACUAAAACCAAGACAGCAGAUGUGAAAACCACGACAGCGUCAGGCUUCCGUACUUGGGUUCACUUUCCUAUGAAAGCAGAGGCACCAUUUUUACAGGCUCAUUUCUCAGAGUGGCAAAUUGCUGCGCUUUCACUUUUUGUCCAAGCUCCCUCCACCCUCCCCGAUGUCUUCAAACCCAGUGUCUCCACUCACCUGUGUCACCCCAAGUUCCUCACUGUCUCCAAACACCCACAGCUGAUGAGUCUCUCUUCCAGCUCUUUGUGCACUGGGUGAAAAAGCUAUCAUGCUCUACCACUCCUGUUACCACUUGUCGUCCAACCACUUACAUAAGCCCAUGACCUCUGAAAUAAAAGCAUUUGCUUGCACUUGGGUAGAGCUGGUUGGUUGGAAGAGAAAUUGGAGAGGAAAAUGAUUUAAAAAACAGUCACAGAAGCAAGUUUCCAGAAUAUGUAUUUUUGGUUUUCCUUUCAACUUUGCUAUUUCCUCUAGUCCACCACUGCUCACCAUCAAAGAAAAAAAGUUUCAACCAGCAAAGUCAAUUUGUUUAACAUUUCCACAUAACCUCCAGCAAAUGGGAGCAUCCUGUAGCACACGGAGUCACCGAAAGCCUUGCUAAGCACAGAUCAAAAGGAUGCAAGGAACUGGAAAAGAACAUUCACCUUAGGUUGUAAACAUUCAUUUAUAUUUAUACUAAACAUAUAAAUAGGUCUAGAGAGCCUGGUAUUUCUAACAUGCCAAUUAUCUCUGUACUCUGGUGCCCUGCUCACUAACAAAAACAGCUUCACUUUUGACCGAGAAAGUCAUGUUGCACGGUGCUUUCUCAAAAUGAGUUCAUUAUUUUGUGCAAAGGAAGGGAUGUUUUAAUCCCCCUUCAAUAACGCUGUUGGAUAGGACAGCACAUACAUACACGGCACCCACAGGGCAGCUCGUUUCUGUUAGCACAGAGGCAUCUGUGGAGGUCUGCGGAGGCAGUGGGGCUGAUGGGCACGGAUAUGCACACUGCAAACGUCAGAGCUGGGUUAGUAAUUUAAAUGACAAUAAACAGUAAAAUAAAUAUUUUCAAAGCUAAAUAACAAUCAAAACACAGAACAGGUUUUCCCAGCCCCUCUAAUUUGGACGCAAGGAGGUUCAAUAAGCUCAACCAUUCCCACGAGCACCCCUGGCUGCAGGCAUCACACUGUCAAAUCAAGUGCUAAAACACACCUGGACAGAAGUGUGCACAAGGUGGGCUGACGCUUUUCUCCAGAACAGCUUUGGAGGAGCUGUACAACAGAGGUCAUGCCUCCAGCACCAAAGAACACUUAGUAUUUAUCCCACUGCAAGGGUCAUUUUGUGAAACGAGAGCAUACUUCUGCACACACCAAGCUUGCCCCCGAGUUACAGCAGCCUCUGGACCCGCACCCAGCACUGAGGUGGUGGUCCUGUUUCACAUGCCUGUGAAACGU